rnacentral:lncRNA from 1 species
AGGGCUUUGUUUUAAAAAACAAAGUGAAGCAACUGCUAGACAUGGCAAAAAAAAUAGUGCAUAUUCCUUAUUCCUUAUUACUACCUGGUUAUGACCUCUUCUGUUUCCUAGGAAUAAGGUUCUAUUCGUACUUCUAGAAUAGCUUCUCCUCUCUGUAACAUUCUGUUAAGAUGUGUCCAGCUCUCCUAAAGCCACAGAAUCCCAGAGACUCAAAGUAAAUUUUCUCUUCGGUAAAUCAGAAGGCUCUGCAUAAAUGUUAAAGUCAAGUUUCUCCUGCUUUGGGCACCUUCAAAUAGAAGACGUUUCUGCUUCUCUUGCUUCUGAGAACCCACGAAAUCAACACAUCCCCAAAAGACGCCUUGAGGAACGGAAAGUGUCCUGCACCCCCAACCCUCCCGCACUAAGAGCGGCGGAGGAUCCCACCGCUUCGCACUUCCCUGGAGGGACUCCUGGAUUAGGAGGUGCCUUCUGGUCUGGAAGAGUAUUCCCUCGGCUGGGCGCACGCAGUCCAUCCCCAAUGCUCCAACUUGAAAACUUGGAGUUGGCCACGACUACCCCAUUCCAAUCUCACCCCACGGCGCUUUCUCCCCUCUUGGUGCUGAGAGCUUUUGAGACCACCUGCCCUGAGGUCCCUACGUCCGAGGGACCCCGGCAAGGACCUGUCCCGCUGAGCCCGCCUGACUUACGCGGCGCAGUCGGUGCUUCUCCCUGA